ensembl:lncRNA
GGACAAUAGUAUCUUGCCAUGCAGCUCCAACCCAGUGAUGCAAGAAGAAGAGGUUUCACCCUCCAGCUUGCAGGGUGGUGGUGGCGAUUCUCAUGACAUAGCCGUGGACAAUAGUAUCUUGCCAUGCAGCUCCAACCCAGUGAUGCAAGAAGAAGAGGUUUCACCCUCCAGCUUGCAGGGUGGUGGUGGCGAUUCUCAUGACAUAGCCGUGGACAAUAGUAUCUUGCCAUGCAGCUCCAACCCAGUGAUGCAAGAAGAAGAGGUUUCACCCUCCAGCUUGCAGGGUGGUGGUGGCGAUUCUCAUGACAUAGCCGUGGACAAUAGUAUCUUGCCAUGCAGCUCCAACCCAGUGAUGCAAGAAGAAGAGGUUUCACCCUCCAGCUUGCAGGUUUGCAGUGGAGACACAUAUUUAAAGAACAGCUCCUCUGUAUGCAGCUCCACCAUGGUGUCACAAGACACAAAGUUUGCCAAAGAAGCCAAGUUAAGCUUGGUAAACUACACAGACUCGGAUGAAUCAGCCGUCAGUUCCAACGCUAAUGAAGAUGUUCCCUCAUCCACCAUACAGAGCAAAGAGAAGAUUCCUGUUGGAUUUGAUCUUUCUGACUCCAGUAUGACACAUGGAGAUGAUGUCCGACAAUUGAUUGUGCCAAGGCUUAGGAGGACCAAAAGCGUCUUUAUGAAAGACAGGAUUCCUGAUGGAUCUGAUGAGCUUUAUUGCACCAGUACUGAUAGUGGGGAAGAAUACGUUCCAGCUUCAAUUGCAGAAAGUACAGAUGAUACAGAUGGAAGCAUGAUCUGUGAAAUGUCACCAUCUAUAUCACCAUCAUCCUUGUCAGACAGGACUCUGAGUAGCAGAAGCAGUGCAACAAAUGUCUGUAUUCCUGACACCACAUGCUCUCCUAGCAGGGAACAUGGUGAAAGUGCCUCAGUAUCCAUUCCUGCUGUCAGAAAGAAAGAAGAUGGAUCUCGGAUGUACAACAAGAGACAGUUCUGUCUGUAUUGCGGGUCUUCUUUCCUAAAAAUCGUGAAGCAUUUGGAGCGUAAACACAAAAAGGAGCUGGAGGUAGCAAAAGCACUUAGUUUCCCAAAGGGCUCAAAACAAAGACGCGUGCACUUAGAAUGUCUCCGAAACAAAGGUAAUUUUGCACAUAAUGCUGAAGUUUUGAAAACGGGCACAGGAAAACUGGUUGCACGCAAGCAGCCAAGAGAAGAAUCCCAGGCACAAGACUACAUGCACUGUCUCUACUGUCAAGGGUUAUUUAUGAAACGUACAAUGUGGAGACAUUUUCAGAUUUGCAAAUUCAAACCUGUCGAUCCCAAACCGGGAAAAACUAGAGUCCAAGCCCUCUGUGCCUUUGCAGAACCCACACCUGCUGGAGUUUCGGAAGAGCUAUGGAAACUGGUGAACAACAUGAACCAGGAUGCUGUUGCACAUGCAGUCAGAAAUGACUGGUGCAUCAUGGAGAUGGGGAAGCACCUCUACAACAAGCAUGGAUUUGAAGUUGAUAAGCACGAAUAUAUCCGGCAAAAGUUAAGGGAGCUUGGCAGACUUUGCUUACAUGGUGGAGAGGUCACAAACAUGAAGACGAUCAAAGAAUAUGUCAUACCAGCGAACUUCAUGCAGACAGUCGAUGCAGUGAAACACACAGCACAAGGCAAUAAAGGUAAUUCCAAAUCGCUUCCUCUGAAACUUGGACACAGCCUCAAGAGGAUGUCUAUGCUCCUGGAGAGUGAUGCAAUCAUUAAAGGAGACAAGGAUGGCGCAGAAGAAGCUCGAGCCUUUCGAAGUCUGUAUGAUGCAAAAUGGCACGAGCUUGUGUCAGUCACAUCUUUGAGGAGCCUCAAUGAGUCCAAGUGGAACGCCCCCCAGCUGCUGCCUUUCACAGCAGAUGUGCAGAAGUUGCACAAUUACCUGGAUGAGAAGCAACAGCAGUACCAACAUGAUUUAGAAUCUGAGGCGUCAUCGCACAACUGGGCCAACCUGGCAAAGGUGACUCUCGCACAGGUUAUCUUAUUCAACCGGCGUAGAGAAGGUGAGGUGUCCAAAAUGUCCCUCUCUGCAUUCACAUCAAGAGACACAUCAGCACCUCACGAAGACGUCAACCUCGCUCUCUCUGAGCUUGAGAAAAAACUCUGCCAUCAUUUUACCAGAAUAGAAAUGAGAGGAAAGCGAGGUAGGAAAGUUGCUAUCCUCCUAAGCCCAGUGAUGUAUGAAGCACUCAACAUGCUACAUCAAAAGAGAAAGGAGUGUGGUGUCCUCAAAGAAAACGCAUAUGUGUUUGCCAGACCAGGAGUGAUGUCGCACUACAGAGGGUCAGAUUGCAUCCGCCAGUUUGUCCAACUCUGUGAUGUCAAGAAUCCUCUCUCACUCACCUCAACAAGACUGAGGAAGCACAUGGCUACCUUAUCUAAAGUACUAAACCUUCAGGAGACAGAGCUUGACCAGCUGGCGGAUUUCAUGGGCCACGAUAUUAGAGUGCAUCGGCAGUUCUAUCGGUUACCGGAGGGCACCCUUCAACUGGUCAAGAUCAGUAAAAUUCUGAUGGCCAUGGAGCAGGGCCGCCUUUCAGACUUUCAAGGCAAGAGCCUUGAGGAGAUCAACAUUGAUCCGACUGGUAUGUGGUUUCUGCUUAAAUCAACUCUUGCCAUUUUGAGCUUUAAAUGGGUACAACACCAUAACUACAGUAUAAUGUAUUUCAUACCACCUGUUUAG